rnacentral:rRNA from 1 species
GAUGAACGCUAGCGGCAGGCUUAAUACAUGCAAGUCGAGGGGCAGCAUGACUGUAGCAAUACAGUUGAUGGCGACCGGCAAACGGGUGCGGAACACGUACAGAACCUUCCUUCGAGCGGGGAAUAGCCCAGAGAAAUUUGGAUUAAUACCCCAUAGUAUAUUUGAAAGGCAUCUUUUAAAUAUUAAAGAUUUAUCACUUGAAGAUGGCUGUGCGGCUGAUUAGGUAGUUGGCGGGGUAACGGCCCACCAAGCCUGCGAUCAGUAACUGGUGUGAGAGAACGACCAGGCACACGGGCACUGAGACACGGGCCCGACGCCUACGGGAGGCAGCAGUAAGGAAUAUUGGUCAAUGGACGAAAGUCUGAACCAGCCAUGUCGCGUGGAGGAUGAAGGUCCUCUGGAUUGUAAACUUCUUUUAUAUGGGACGAAAAAAGGCUUUUCUAAGUCGUCUGACGGUACCAUAUGAAUAAGCACCGGCUAACUCCGUGCCAGCAGCCGCGGUAAAAC